UACGAAGGUGGCAAGCGUUGUUCGGAUUCACUGGGCGUACAGGGUGUGUAGGCGGUUUGGUAAGCCUUCUGUUAAAGCUUCGGGCCCAACCCGGAAAGCGCAGAGGGUACUGCCAGGCUAGAGGGUGGGAGAGGAGCGCGGAAUUCCCGGUGUAGCGGUGAAAUGCGUAGAGAUCGGGAGGAAGGCCGGUGGCGAAGGCGGCGCUCUGGAACAUACCUGACGCUGAGACACGAAAGCGUGGGGAGCAAACAGGAUUAGAUACCCUGGUAGUCCACGCCCUAAACUAUGGAUACUAAGUGUCGGCGGGUUACCGCCGGUGCCGCAGCUAACGCAUUAAGUAUCCCGCCUGGGAAGUACGGCCGCAAGGUUG
rnacentral:rRNA from 3 species